rnacentral:rRNA from 1 species
UACAGAGGUCUCAAGCGUUGUUCGGAUUCAUUGGGCGUAAAGGGUGCGUAGGCGGCGCGGUAAGUCGGGUGUGAAAUCUCGGAGCUUAACUCCGAAACUGCAUUCGAUACUGCCGUGCUUGAGGACUGGAGAGGAGACUGGAAUUUACGGUGUAGCGGUGAAAUGCGUAGAUAUCGGGAGGAACACCAGUGGCGAAGGCGACUACCUGGCCUGUUCUUGACGCUGAGGCGCGAAAGCUAGGGGAGCAAACGGGGAU